UAUACAUGCAGUCGAGCGAAUGGAUUAAGAGCUUGCUCUUAUGAAGUUAGCGGCGGACGGGUGAGUAACACGUGGGUAACCUGCCCAUAAGACUGGGAUAACUCCGGGAAACCGGGGCUAAUACCGGAUAACAUUUUGAACCGCAUGGUUCGAAAUUGAAAGGCGGCUUCGGCUGUCACUUAUGGAUGGACCCGCGUCGCAUUAGCUAGUUGGUGAGGUAACGGCUCACCAAGGCAACGAUGCGUAGCCGACCUGAGAGGGUGAUCGGCCACACUGGGACUGAGACACGGCCCAGACUCCUACGGGAGGCAGCAGUAGGGAAUCUUCCGCAAUGGACGAAAGUCUGACGGAGCAACGCCGCGUGAGUGAUGAAGGCUUUCGGGUCGUAAAACUCUGUUGUUAGGGAAGAACAAGUGCUAGUUGAAUAAGCUGGCACCUUGACGGUACCUAACCAGAAAGCCACGGCUAACUACGUGCCAGCAGCCGCGGUAAUACGUAGGUGGCAAGCGUUAUCCGGAAUUAUUGGGCGUAAAGCGCGCGCAGGUGGUUUCUUAAGUCUGAUGUGAAAGCCCACGGCUCACCGUGGAGGGUCAUUGGAAACUGGGAGACUUGAGUGCAGAAGAGGAAAGUGGAAUUCCAUGUGUAGCGGUGAAAUGCGUAGAGAUAUGGAGGAACACCAGUGGCGAAGGCGACUUUCUGGUCUGUAACUGACACUGAGGCGCGAAAGCGUGGGGGAGCAAACAGGAUUAGAUACCCUGGUAGUCACGCCGUAAACGAUGAGUGCUAAGUGUUAGAGGGUUUCCGCCCUUUAGUGCUGAAGUUAACGCAUUAAGCACUCCGCCUGGGGAGUACGGCCGCAAGGCUGAAACUCAAAGGAAUUGACGGGGGCCCGCACAAGCGGUGGAGCAUGUGGUUUAAUUUGAAGCAACGCGAAGAACCUUACCAGGUCUUGACAUCCUUUGACAACCCUAGAGAUAGGGCUUUUCCUUCGGGAGCAGAGUGACAGGUGGUGCAUGGUUGUCGUCAGCUCGUGUCGUGAGAUGUUGGGUUAAGUUCCGCAACGAGCGCAACCCUUGAUUUUAGUUGCCAUCAUUUAGUUGGGCACUUUAAGGUGACUGCCGGUGACAAACCGGAGGAAGGUGGGGAAGACGUCAAAUCAUCAUGCCCCUUAUGACCUGGGCUACACACGUGCUACAAUGGACGGUACAAAGAGCUGCAAGACCGCGAGGUGGAGCUAAUUUCAUAAAACCGUUUUCAGUUCGGAUUGUAGGCUGCAACUUGCCUACAUGAAGCUGGAAUCGCUAGUAAUCGCGGAUCAGCAUGCCGCGGUGAAUACGUUUCCGGGCCUUGUACACCCCCCCCGUCACCCCCCGAGAGUUUGUAACCCCCGAAGUCGGUGGGGUAACCUUUUGGAGCCAGCCGCCU
rnacentral:rRNA from 1 species